UACGUAGGGGGCAAGCGUUGUCCGGAUUUAUUGGGCGUAAAGAGCGUGUAGGCGGCCAGGUAGGUCCGUUGUGAAAACUCGAGGCUCAACCUCGAGACGUCGGCGGAAACCCUCUGGCUAGAGUCCGGAAGAGGAGAGUGGAAUUCCUGGUGUAGCGGUGAAAUGCGCAGAUAUCAGGAGGAACACCGGUGGCGAAGGCGGUUCUCUGGGCAUUACCUGACGCUGAGGAGCGAAAGCAUGGGGAGCGAACAGG
rnacentral:rRNA from 1 species